rnacentral:rRNA from 1 species
UCGGGAAUUUUGGGCAAUGGGCGAAAGCCUGACCCAGCAACGCCGCGUGAAGGAUGAAGUAUUCCGGUAUGUAAACUUCGAAAGAAUAGGAAGAAUAAAUGACGGUACUAUUUAUAAGGUCCGGCUAACUACGUGCCAGCAGCCGCGGUAAUACGUAGGGACCAAGCGUUGUUCGGAUUUACUGGGCGUAAAGGGCGCGUAGGCGGCAAUUCAAGUCAUCUGUGAAAUCUCCGGGCUUAACUCGGAACGGUCAGAUGAUACUGCUUUGCUAGAGUGCAGAAGGGGCAAUCGGAAUUCUUGGUGUAGCGGUGAAAUGCGUAGAUAUCAAGAGGAACACCUGAGGUGAAGACGGGUUGCUGGGCUGACACUGACGCUGAGGCGCGAAAGCCAGGGGAGCAAACGGGAUUAGAUACCCACGUAGUCCCUGAGCGGGCUGGCAAGGCGCAU